ACGCCGGAGGGCAGGCCUCAUUUAAGGGGAGGACAGCUGUAGGUUUAAGCCAGGUUUCACAGAACCCAAUCAUAUCCAAGUGGUGAUCCAUAAUCAAAACUUACCAUCAAAGGGAGUUUU